GGUUCUCUGGAGUGCCAGCAGACUGGGAUCAGUGGUCAAACAGGACAGCAGAGACUGGCUGCAAGCUUGCACCUGGAUUGCUAUGUAAGGACACAAGGGACAUGCUUUAUUCUGAAGGAAAAGGAGAAGCUCUACCAGCUAUGUUGGUCAGACAACUUGUCAUCUUUGCCUUGCCACCAUCUUUCGUGGGCUCCCAGAUCUCCUGUGGUGUUCCAAAAAAUCAUUCUGGCAAGGUUCUUUUUGGUGCUCCUUAGGACAACUUUGUCUGAUGAACAGGACUCCCUUUCUAGGUUUGAGGACAAGGACAUGACAUGAAUGGCAGUUACUUUUAUAUUGUCAAGGGGAAGGUUAAAUAAUUGUUUUGAUGUAUGUUCUGUAUUCAAAAGAAAAUCUUAUUGGAAUGUGGUGGACACUUUUUUUUUUCCCCUGUAGAGAAAUGUUAUUUUAUUAUGUAGUGUGGAUAGUAAUUCAGCAGACCUGACCCUUUGGUUCUGUGUAACUGUGUUAAAGAUCUUUAUUUACUUCUUGGA